UGGGGGCAGGCAAAACACUUGCAAACCUUAGCGCUGCCUUUAUUUCUUUUUGAUCGCCUGUUGCUCUCUCUUUCUUAUCUGCAUCUUUGUCUCCUUUUUUUCUUCGACCAAUAGCUGUUAGCCAUCAACUCACCUUCUCUUUCUCUCGUUCAACAAUCUCUUCUCUCUCUUUCGGCCAACUGACUAUCUUCCCAUUAAGGUAAAAACUUCUAGCUCCACCACUGGCCACCUUUGCUCCACCACUCUCACCGCCAUUGCUCCACUGCGUUCUUGUGCUUUUGCCACGCAUGGAAGAAGCCAACGCCAUCGUUUCUAAGGCUCAAAGCUUUUGUUCGUUAACUUCAUAGCUACCAAUGUCUCUAAAAUUCCAACAGCGGUAUCAGAGCAUUCAAUGAUCUUAAGGGGCCUGUGAGAGAAAACCCAUCAACGCCUUCUUUAUUUCUAUGGCUUCCACCGACACAUCAUCUCUUUCGCCACCAGUUUUUGAUGGAGAAAAUUAUCAAGUAUGGGCUAUCAAAAUGAAAGCUCAUUUGAGAGGACUCAGUUUAUGGCAGUGGGUCGAAAGUGAAAGGGAGAUACCUUCGCUUGGCAACAAUCCUACGCUCCAUCAAACCAGAGCUCAUGAAGAAGCAGAAGCUAAAGCUAAAGCUCUGAGGGCUUUAUCUCAAUUACACGUUGUUGUCUCCGAAUCAAUUUUCUCAAUAAUCAUGGCUUGUGAAACGGCUAAGGAAGCAUGGGAUGUAUUGAAAGAGCUAUAUCAAGAGAAUGCUAGAACGAAAAGAAUACAAGUGUUGAAUCUCAAAAGAAAUUUAGAGAUUCGUAGAAUGAAUAAAAAGGAUACAAUCCAAGAGUUCUCUGAAAAACUAAUGACGGUGGUAAAUAAAAUUAGACUUAUGGGAGAAGAGCUACCUGACAACAGGAUCGUAGAGAAAGUCUUGAUAAGCCUACCUAAGAGGUUUGAGGCAAAAAUCUCGUCCCUUGAAGAUUCAAGAGACAUUAGCCAAAUUACAUUGGCAGAAUUAAUUGGAGCCUUGCAAGCUUAGGAGCAAAGAAGGAUUAUGAGAAAUAAAAAAAGUGAAAAGACGAUGGAGGGAGCUUAUCUUGCCAAGAGUUCAUUGUCAAAGAAGAAAGGAAAAAUUCCAGAAUGUGACCAUUGCAAAAAGCCUGGUCAUGAAGAGAAAGAUUGUUGGCACAAGGGGAAGCCUCAAUGCUUCAAGUGUAAAAGAUUUGGGCAUUUGAAAAAGGAUUGUAGAUUUAAUAUGAAAGAACAAGCAAAUUCAGUGAAGGCGGUUGAAGGGGCAAUUGAAGAGGAAAUGCUCUUCUAGUUUGUGAGAAGUGCACCAAGAAGAAUUUUUUGGAGAAAAAUGCUCCAUGAAACUGAAUUAAGUUUUUUUUUCAACAUUUGAAGGAAGUAUUGAUUGUGAUGAGAAGUGCAUCAAGAAGUGAAGAGAAGUGCUACACAAUUGGGAAGAAAUUUGGAGAGAAGUGCUCUAUAAAAAGUUGAAGUUUUGCAACUUUGAAUCAAGGAGGAAUGUUGAAUGUUGAAUAUUGAUUCAAAGUUACUGAUUUAGUAGGUUGAGAUAAUUUCGUUGUUUUUAAAUUUAAGUCUAGCAAUAAAUCUUAUUUUCUUGUUAUUCAGUUGACAUGUAUUGUCUAUUUAAAGGCAUGAUGAUGUGAAUAAAAAUAAUGAGGUUACAGUCUUCACAUUUAUGUUUUU